CCUGGUGGCUUAGUGGUAAAGAAUCUGCCUGCCGAUGCAGGAGACCCAGGUUCGAUCCCUGGGUCAGGA
rnacentral:tRNA from 1 species